rnacentral:rRNA from 1 species
UACAGAGGUCUCAAGCGUUGUUCGGAUUCAUUGGGCGUAAAGGGUGCGUAGGUGGCGCCAUAAGUCAGGUGUGAAAUCUCGGGGCUUAACCCCGAAACUGCAUUUGAUACUGUGGUGCUCGAGUACUGGAGAGGAGAUUGGAAUUUACGGUGUAGCAGUGAAAUGCGUAGAUAUCGUAAGGAAGACCAGUGGCGAAGGCGAAUCUCUGGACAGUUACUGACACUGAGGCACGAAGGCCAGGGGAGCAAACGGG